rnacentral:sRNA from 1 species
CAACCAUGGCCGGUAAGCAUCUGCGUUA